AAGAAAUAUAAAAAUACUUUUAUAAUCUUGGGAGAUUAUCUAACCCCAAAUUUAUAAUGAAGAAAACUAUGAAAAUUUAAAUUUACAAAAAUAGAAAAUGGACCAGGUAUAAUGGUGCACAACUGUGAUCCCACCUAUCAGAAAACUAAGGCAAGAGGAUCACAAGUUCAAAGCCAGUCUCCACAACUUAGUGAGACUGCCUCAAAAUAAAAAAGGGCUGAGGAUGUAGCUCAGUGGUAAAGCACUCCCGGGUUCAAUCCCCAGAACCUGAAAAAAAAUUACAUAACAGACUAAGAUAUAUUUCAUAUAUGUUAGCAAAUGAAUAAUACCUGGAUUACACACAGAUUAUCUAUUAAUGUCAAUAAAUGAACAGAAUUUAUGCACAGGAAGUUUACAAAUGAAUAAAAUGGUCCAGUGGCAUAUGAAGAGAUGCUCAGUGUCACCAGCAUUAGGGAAUGCAAAUUGAAAUAACAAUGAGUAAUUUGUGUACAAAUACUCACAAGGCAAAAAAUAAACACACAGUUGUGUAGGUUUUUGUUUAGUGUGCUACUAAAGAUUGAACACAGGGGUGUUCUGCCACUGAGCUACACAGACAAGGUCUGCCCAGGCUGGUCUCAAAUUUGUGAUCCUCCUGCCUUAGCCUCCAAAUAACUGGGAUUACAGGUAUACAUCACCGCUCCCAGAAAUACAUAGUUUGAUAAUAGCUAUUAGUGAUGUUAUGGAGAUAUGGGUAUUAUUUUUCAUAUAUAUAUAUAUUAUAAAUAUAUAUUUUUAUCUUCAGCAAGAGUACAGAUUAGUAAAGCCAAUUUGAAAGUGCAAAUGUCUUAGUAUCCCUUAAGAUGGACAUAAUAAAAAGACAGUCAAAAACAGGUAUUGAUGAGAGUGUGAAGAAAUUCAAGCCUUGAUGCAUUGCUGGUGACAAUGUAAAAGGGGCAGCUACUCUGGAAAAGUUUAGCAGUUUUUUUAAAAGUUAAAUAUAGAUUUACCACAAAACCCAGCACUUCUAAGUAUAUACUCAAGAGAAAUGAAAACAUUCACACCAAGUUGAGCACACAAAUGGUCAUAAUAGGAAUAUUCAUAAUAACUAAGAUGUGGAAACAACCCAAAUGUCCAUCAAUUGAUAAAUGGAAAAGCAAAAUAUGGUAUAUCCAUAUAGUAGAAUAUUAUUCAGUCACAAAAAGGAAUGGAAUGCUGAUAGAUUCUAAAAUAAGGGUAAAUCUCCAAACCUGCAAGUAAGAGGAGGCAAACAAAGGACCACAUGAUAUUUAGUUACAUUUUCUUUGUAACAUCUGGAAUGUGGAGACAAACCAGAUUAAUGGCCUAGUUGGCUAUAAUGGAUGAUUGCAAGGUUUCUCUUUCAGGGUGAUGGAAAUGAUUUAAAAUUGUGAUAGUUGUAAGACUCUUUAAACAUAUGAGUAAUCUGGCUGGGCAUGGUGCCACACACCUGUUAUCCCAGUGGCUUGGGAGACUGAGGCAGGAGGAUUGCAAGCUUAAAGACAGCCUCAGAAACUUGGCAAGGUCCUAAGCAACUUAGCAAGACCUAUCUCAAAAUAAAUAAAUAAAUAAGUAAAAAUAAAGUGCUGAGAAUGUAGCUUAGUGGUUAAGUGCCACUGGCUUCAAUCUGUGGUACAAAAGCAAAAACAAUCAUAUGAACAAUAGUAUUAAUAUGAACAAUAUUAAUAUCUACUUAAAUGGGUAAUUUUAUUGUGAGUUAUACCUCAGCAAAACAUUUAAACAUAUGGAUAUAUUUGACACAAUUAGAGUUCUAGCAAUUUGUCCUUCAGAAUGAUUUAUGUUUAUAUACCUUGUUGUUCAAAGAUAUAUUUGUAGCAGCUCUCAUAAUUUCUGUUAUGAGACAAUCCCCAUCCAGUAGUAUUUUACUAAAUUAAGUAUAAUGCCUAUCCCCUUUAACAAACUAUAAUGCAUGUCUUUCAAUAUAUUAUUCUUUAUAUAGAAAUUUGGAUUUGAAGUUCUACUGUUCUAUUAAAAAGGCUAUAGAACAAUACAUGUAGUAUAAUCCCAUUUACAUGAAAAAAUCUGAAAGUAUAUUUGGCCACACAUCUAUUAAAAGUGCUUAGAAAUCGGCCUGAAAGCUUACCUAUCCAGUUAGUAGUAGUUACUUUCUGGGAAAGGAAGCUGUUUGGGCUCAGAAACAAAGGAGGCUUCCAUGUUUAAUCUGCUAUUUUUAUAUUUUAAGGCUUUGUGCAAUGAGAAUGAGCCACUAGUGUUCAAAAAGACAUAGACACAAAGAAGAACCUAACUGUAAGUAUGCUUAAUCCAAAAGUAUCUCUUAAAAUUUAAAUGUAUUCAUUUUAUAGUAUUUGCUCACAAAGUGCAUAUGUAAGUUCACUAUGGAGAUAGAAUUCUACUACAGUAGAAUGCUUCAGUGUUCAGAAACCCCAGACACCAUAACUGAUGAAGUCAAAGGGGGAAAGGGACCCAGUGAAAGAAUAAAGAGAAGUUCAGUCUCCAGAAUGGCAGUAAGGAAGGUUUUGACCCUUCGUCACCCCCAGUGACAGUUACCUUGAUUGUGAAUUGACUGGAUCAAGACACUUAGAAAGUUGGUAAAGACACCUGUGCAUGCAUUUGUGAGUGUUUCCAGACACGAUUGCAUGUGCAUCGCUGGACUGAGGGAGACCCUUGCUGAAUGUGGACAGCACCGUCCAUUUGGCUGGAGACUCAGAAGGAAGAAAAAGCAGAAGCGGGAAGCAGGCUCAUGCAGGCCCAGUAGGCUCUCCGUUUCUUCACUGCUGUUAUUGCCUGUGGACAUCAGACUCUGGCUUCUUCAACCGUUAAACGUGGACUCUCACCAGCGACCCUUCAGCCUCAGACUGGGCUGCACCAUUGGUCCCUCUUGUUCUGCAGCUCCAGCUAUUUGGGACUGAACAGCUACUGGUUUCCUGGGCUCUCCGGCUUGCAGACAGCCAUUGUGGGACUAUCCAGCCUCUGAUUGAAUGAGCCAAGACAAUAAAUUCCUUUUUAUAAUUACAUACA
rnacentral:lncRNA from 1 species